UGCGUGCGUUGUUACUGCGGUGCCGUCGCGUAUAUACUGAACCGAAGAUCUUGAUUUAGUUUUGUGCUGUCGUAAGCAGGAAAAUUAUUUAAAACAGCAGAAAUGGAGGAAGAAUAAAGAAACAAUAAGACGGAUUAGCAUGCAGGAGUGGUUUUUCUAAACCAGUAAGAGCCGACUAUUUGAACUACAGACAAAUAUAUAGCACUACGAUUUUUUUGUUGCUAAUGGUUGCAAAAUUAUUAAUCUGGUUAAAAGUGUACAUUGUUAAGCAGCCAUUAACAUAAAAAUGACAGCUGAUAUUGUCAAAAUUGAACGCCAUCCUGAAUAAACAAGGAGAGGAUCCUAGGUGGAACUAACGAAAUAAAAAUCAUUUGUUGAACACACUCCUCACUAAUUAGGAGACGUUUACGAGGCGAUCGCUGCGUGCGAAUUCGAUUGUGAGGAGGUCUGCGCGAAGAGAACACCCUGGUAAGUCACCCCGUUCAGUUCCAUGCUUACCACUAGUGAGUUGUCGCCGUUUCGGGCAUCACCUGGAAAUAGAAAGAAUAACGGAAAAACUGCACACCAUUUUACCAAGGGAACCUGACUGCAGCAGCGGCGCACUCAACUUUGUAAAGUCAUAAAACAUAUUGCCAAAAGACUGGGAGCUCAUGAAAAGUUAUUUUAAAUUUUAUAAACUGAUUUUUAUUUUCUGCGAAAUCAUAAUAUUUUUAUUAAUUAUAGACCUAAAAAUAAUUGAAAAAAUGUAAAAAAAUUUAAAUUUAUUAUUAAUUUAUAAAUAUAGUGCCUCAAUAGAGACGUCAAAUAUUGUUUUCAAUGCCUUAAAGUCAUAAACAAAUUUCUGGAUAAGGCAAAAACUUAUUUCAAGUGCCUGGAAUAAAAUCAAUAAUUACUUAAAAUUUUUAACCAAACUUAUCAUUAAAAUAUAAUAAAAGUCUUUUACUACUGAAAAUACAGGAGAAAUGAUCACUUCUCAUAGUUUCGAAACUUUAGAGGGUAUUAGUGUUACACUUACUCCUAAUAGGUUGAAAGAAGACACAGUUCAUUCUGAGGGAUUAUUCUCAGAAAGGUCUAUUAGUGAUUCACAGAAUCUUCCGCAUCAGAUACAGUUUCUGAAGAAUAUGUGGGAUGAGGUGUUAAUAAAAUGGUAAUUUGAUGUGGCAUAGUAUUGUUCCUUAAAUGUUGAUUAUGAGCCUCACUACUAGAUAGUACUUUUCUAAAUAAAUAUUUUGUUGCUUAAAUAAUUAAAACUCUAUAAGUAAAUGACAACUUAAAGAAAAUAUAUGCCUAGAAACAUGAUCAAAUUUGUAAGCAAAAAGACAACAUUUAUUUUAUAACUGUUGCAAUCUGUGCUGUGACAUUUUAUCAAAAUAGGAAUGAUAGACGAUAAUUGGUUAUUGAAGGGACUAAAGAUUCUGCAAGUUUUUUCCUGGUUUUAAAAUAUAUGUAUUUGUUUGCAUUAAAAGACGCAAACGCUUAUCUUAAUUAAUUCCUUGAUAAGGUCAAGUCUUAGAAUCUUAAGAUAUUUCUCAGGGAUCCGAUGACAGAAUGCCUAAAAAUAAUAAACUUAAAACGGAAAAGAAAAUAUGUUAUUCAUUUCAUCAAUAUAAUACCUGAAAUUAAUUUUAUGUAAAAACCAAAUAUUUUCAAGUUUCUAACAUUUCGAGAAAAAAAUUGGAAAAUCGGGGAUAAUGAGCUUAGAAAAAUAAAUUUAAUAUUUUAAUUUUAAUUUUUGGGAAAGCCUGGAAUAUAUUUUUAUUUUAUUAAAUAAACAAAUUCUUGCUUUUCAGAAUUUCAAGUUUCACGCAGUAUAUCAAUUAAAUAAAAAAUAAAUUGAGAAAAAUAAAAAAAUGAUUUUUUUUCCAAAGAGUCACGCUUUUAAUGACUCAAACAAUACGACGUUUCGUCUUUUGACUACCAUCACCCAUCCUAUUAUCCUCCUUAACCUCAAAAAGCAUUUUUCUGAAAAAAAAAACCACACUUGUUUCGUAAAAACGAGGGUGGGCACGUAUACGAAACAUUCAUAAUAUAAAUCACGUUCACUUGUAACAAUGUUAAAACAAAAAUAAAUCGCCUAGAUUUAGGUGAAAAAUGUUAAUAGUCCCCAUCUCGUGUUCUGUUUAACACACACAUCCAGAGAGAGAGAUAGAGGCCUCAAAAAAUAACGAAGAAAACAAAAACUAUUUAUAUGAUUUGCUUGUGGCACACAUAAUAUUUUUAAUUCGUCUGUCGCAUCUCUAAUUUGAUCACGUGUCCACCAGGCAUAAUGAUGAUCAAUCAUAGUCUGUCAGCCGUCAGACCGCUAUUUUAAUAUCUAAACUUCGCGUGGUUAAUGCCCACAGGUACGUACCACAUUACAAUGUCUACCGUUGAUCUAAAUUUAUAUUAGUUUGGAUGAAUAUCAAAACAAAAAAAACAUUUUUUUUGGCUCAGAAAUUAACGCGAAAAUUGCUCAAUUUAUUAGGAUUAAGUAUGUGGAAUUUAUCAAAGCGUUAAUAUGUAGACAUCGUAUGCAAUAGUAGCAUUUUCCAAGAGUUUAUUUAAUCAGCAACACAUUACAAGAAGAAAUAAAUUUGAAAUAAAAUAAAACAUAUUUACAGUAAGUUGCAUUUUUAAUCCUGUAUAUGUGAUCCAUUUAUUUUUCCAUAUACUACAUAUCUAUUUCCUUUUUUGCUUUCUUACACAGUAAAUAUACCUAAUUUUCUUGGGGGUUAAGACCAUGGUAAGAUACUCUCUUAAGAAUAUGGGGUAAGUACUUACUGUGUGAAUACAGAACAUUUUUAAGUAAGACUGACUUAACUGGACUCUUAUAAGAAUUGAAGUUGCUAAUAUUUUUUAUGUAAGACGGAAGUGCCUUAUAAGCUUUAAUUAUAUAUCGGUGAGUUUUCGAACAUAAUAUGUUGAGGAAUAUUAAGGGAUGAAGUAUAUCUAGUCGGAACCCCCCUGUUGUAAAAUAUUAAUUUUUACUAUCUGGAUAUUUUUAAAAUUUAGGAUUUUAUGGACUUUGAUGUAAUUUAUGAAAAAAUACUUUAAAUUCCUUAGAGACAUCUCUUGAGAAAAUUUGUUCUAGAGAUUAGGUAUUUGUCUUUUUUAUCUUUAUUUUGUGUUAUGAAUGUUAUAUUCUGUGUUUUAUUUUAUAGGUUUAAAUUAUUUUAUGUCAUUAUAAGUUUUAUUUAUUAUUUUUUUUUAACUUAAUUUUAUUGUGUGUUUGUGUUCUGAUUUUAUUAAAUUUUAACUCAUUUUAUAUUUUAAAAUUUUAUUUCAACUUAUGUUUUA